CCUUACAUCACCCAUUAAGCUUUGCUAGUCUUGAUAUCUUUGGAAAUGCGAUUGCUGAGUCCCAGAUUACUACAACACCAGUUGCAAGUACAUGUAAAGGUUACUUGACGCGAGCGCGUUGAUUGUUCAUUUGGAGUUGCUUCUUCUUCUUUUUCUUCACCGAUCUAGGAUGGGUUCCAGGCCGGCAGCCUGGGAUAGAAAGGAUAGACGUCGUUCUUCUUUUCUCGUUUUUUUCGUCCAUAGUCGGACCC
rnacentral:lncRNA from 1 species